GGAGCUGUGGCUCAGUGGAUUAAAGCCGCAGCCUGCAAUGCUGCCACCCUAAGUGGGCAUCAGUUUGAAUCCUGUCUGCUCCA
rnacentral:tRNA from 1 species